GGCCAUAGCUCAGUGGCAGAGUAUCAACCUUGCAUGUGGAAGGUCCCAGGUUCAAUCUCCAGGGAGUGUCC